UUCGUGUGAACAGUGGUUGAUCACGAGUUAGUCGGUCCUAAGUUCAAGGCGAAAGCCGAAAAUUUUCAAGUAAAUGGAAAAUUUAUAUAUAUUUGUUAAUUUUAUGCACUUGAAUAAUUUUGAACGAAAGGGAAUACGGUUCCAAUUCCGUAACCUGUUGAGUAUCCGUUUGUUAUUAAAUAUGGGCUUCGUGCUCAUCCUGGCAACAGGAACGACCAUAAAGAAGCCGUCGAGAGAUAUCGGAAGAGUUUUCUUUUCUGUUUUAUAGCCGUACUACCAUGGAAGUCUUUCGCAGAGAGAUAUGGUAGAUGGGCUAGAAGAGCAUGACAUAUACUGUUGUGUCGAUAUUUUCUCCUCGGACCUUGAAAAUUUAUGGUGGGGAUACGCAAACUUCUCAACAGGCCGUACCAAUAUCCGCAGCUGGUCUCCAAGGUGAAGAGUCUCUAGUCGAUAGAAUA
rnacentral:rRNA from 1 species